rnacentral:rRNA from 1 species
CAUGGAGGGUGAGAAUCCCGUCCGGUUGAUCAUUUGCGUUUUACGAUACGCUCUCUAAGAGUCAAGUUGUUUGGGAUUGCAGCUUAAAAUGGGAGGUAAAUUUCUCCUAAGGCUAAAUAACGGCGAGAGACCGAUAGCGAACAAGUACCGUGAGGGAAAGAUGAAAAGAACUUUGAAAAGAGAGUUAAACAGUACGUGAAAUUGUUGAAAGGGAAACGAUUGAAGCCAGUCGUACCUUCGGGUAAUCAGCCUUUCGGGUGCGAUUCUGUGGGGUUUGAGGAGCUUAACACCUUCAUGCUUUGCAUAUUCGUGCUCUUGGGUGUACUUGCCCGUGUGGUUGGUUAACAUCAAUUUUGGUGGUCAUAAAAUGACUGGAGGAAUGUAGCUUCGAUCUCGUAUUGAAGUGUUAUAGCCUUCGGUAGAUGUGAUGAUCGAGAUUGAGGAUUGCAACGGAUACCCUUCGGGGCUACCUGUCUGGUCUCUGAUCGUUGCUCUGGUGCCGAAAGCUUGCUUACGGUUAUCAAAGUCGAUGGUCAAUAGGUUAGAACGGGUUAAAUUCGUUAAGGAUGUUGACGUAAUGG